rnacentral:rRNA from 1 species
GAAACUUCUAAUGGGUAAUUAAAAUUGUUAUUUUUUAUUUGAUAAUCGAAAGUUCGUUGAUAACCGUGACAAAUCCCUGCUAAUCCCCGCAACUGGACCACCCGUUUCGUUGUCAUCCUUUCCAUUAAACUCCUUCCUUUCGGAAUGUCAUGAAUCUUAUUAAUCGAACCAAUCAUAUAAUUCUGCGAUAAAUCAUGCAAGUUUCUGCCCUAUCUUCUUUCGAAGGUAUUGUAUUGGACCACCUAGGCUAUGUCGGGUAACGGAAGGUUUUGGUUCGAUUUCGGAAAGGGAACCUGAGAAAUGGCUACCACAUCUACGGAAGGCAGCGUGAGUUAACAUUGCCCAAUCUUGAUUCUGGGAUGAACUGAUAAGAAAUAACUGCUCUGAUCUUUGUUGAGAAGUGGAAGGAGUACAAUUUACACACCUACACCUAGAUGGUUGGAGGGGAAGUCUGGUGCCAGCA